AUUGAACGCUGGCGGCAUGCCUUACACAUGCAAGUCGAACGGUAACAGGUCUUCGGAUGCUGACGAGUGGCGAACGGGUGAGUAAUACAUCGGAACGUGCCUAGUAGUGGGGGAUAGCUACUCGAAAGAGUGGCUAAUACCGCAUGAGAUCUACGGAUGAAAGCAGGGGAUCGCAAGACCUGGUGCUACUAGAGCGGCCGAUGGCAGAUUAGGUAGUUGGUGGGAUAAAAGCUUACCAAGCCGACGAUCUGUAGCUGGUCUGAGAGGACGAUCAGCCACACUGGGACUGAGACACGGCCCAGACUCCUACGGGAGGCAGCAGUGGGGAAUUUUGGACAAUGGGCGAAAGCCUGAUCCAGCAAUGCCGCGUGCAGGAUGAAGGCCUUCGGGUUGCAAACUGCUUUUGUACGGAACGAAAAGCCCCGGGUUAAUACCCUGGGGUCAUGACGGUACCGUAAGAAUAAGCACCGGCUAACUACGUGCAGCCGCCGCCGUAA
rnacentral:rRNA from 1 species